AUUGAACGCUGGCGGCAGGCCUAACACAUGCAAGUCGAGCGGAUGAAGGGAGCUUGCUCCUGGAUUCAGCGGCGGACGGGUGAGUAAUGCCUAGGAAUCUGCCUGGUAGUGGGGGAUAACGUCCGGAAACGGGCGCUAAUACCGCAUACGUCCUGAGGGAGAAAGUGGGGGAUCUUCGGACCUCACGCUAUCAGAUGAGCCUAGGUCGGAUUAGCUAGUUGGUGGGGUAAAGGCCUACCAAGGCGACGAUCCGUAACUGGUCUGAGAGGAUGAUCAGUCAAACUGGAACUAGAAACCGGUCCAGCGCCCAACGGGAGCAAGAGGUGGGAAAUAUUGACAAUGGGCGAAAGCCUGAUCCAGCCAUGCCGCGUGUGUGAAGAAGGUCUUCGGAUUGUAAAGCACUUUAAGUUGGGAGGAAGGGCAGUAAGUUAAUACCUUGCUGUUUUGACGUUACCAACAGAAUAAGCACCGGCUAACUUCGUG
rnacentral:rRNA from 1 species